GGCGGUGGUAGCUCAGUGCUUAAUGUGUUGGUCUAAUGCUCAGAAGGUCAUGAGCUCAAACCCCAGCACUGCCA